rfam:Otolemur garnettii contig020150, whole genome shotgun sequence.
UUCUUCAUGCAGUGUAAGUAUUAAAGCCAAUGAGGUUUUUAUCUGAGGCAAGAUUACUGCUAAAGGAAAACUUUUCCCAACUACCCUACACCGACAACUUGCAACGUAGAUGGCAUUGGCAAUUUUUGACAGUCACUAUGGAGA